AUCAUCUCUUUCUCUCAUCCUACUAUUGUUUCUUUCUCUCUCACUACCUCUUUCCUGACUCUGAUACCUGUCUCCAAGCAAAUCAUAUCUACUGCGACUAGUGCUCCUCUCUCUUUCUCCAAGGGCACCUUCAUCGCCAUCUCGGCUUUUCGCCACAUAUCGGUCCACCCUGUCUUGCCUAACACCCCGUUGGUAUUCGUAAGACCUCUCCCUCUUGCGGUCCGCAGAUUGUGAACGAUCCUUACGGCGUGUUUCAG
rnacentral:misc_RNA from 1 species